rnacentral:rRNA from 1 species
GAGCGGGCACUUUCGGGUGUCAGCGGCAGACGGGUGAGUAACACGUGGGAACGUACCCUUUGGUUCGGAAUAACGCUGGGAAACUAGCGCUAAUACCGGAUACGCCCUUUUGGGGAAAGGCUUGCUGCCGAAGGAUCGGCCCGCGUAUGAUUAGCUAGUUGGUGGGGUAAUGGCCUACCAAGGCGACGAUCAGUAGCUGGUCUGAGAGGAUGAUCAGCCACACUGGGACUGAGACACGGCCCAGACUCCUACGGGAGGCAGCAGUGGGGAAUAUUGGACAAUGGGCGCAAGCCUGAUCCAGCCAUGCCGCGUGAGUGAUGAAGGCCUUAGGGUUGUAAAGCUCUUUUGUCCGGGACGAUAAUGACGGUACCGGAAGAAUAAGCCCCGGCUAACUUCGUG